rnacentral:rRNA from 1 species
UACGGAGGGGGCGAGCGUUGUUCGGAUUUACUGGGUGUAAAGGGCGUGUAGGUGGCCUGUUAAGUUGGAUGUGAAAUCCCUCAGCUUACCUGAGGAACUGCAUUCAAUACUGGCAGGCUAGAGUGUAGGAGAGGAAAGUGGAAUUCCUGGUGUAGCGGUGAAAUGCGUAGAUAUCAGGAGGAACACCAGUGGCGAAAGCGACUUUCUGGCCUGACACUGACACUAAGGCGCGAAAGCUAGGGGAGCGAACGGG